rnacentral:tRNA from 1 species
GGGGGUAUGGCGCAGUUGGUAGCGCACCUGCUUUGCAAGCAGGGGGUCAGGGGUUCGAAUCCCCUUACCUCCACCG